GACGAACGCUGGCGGCGUGCUUAACACAUGCAAGUCGAACGGAAAGGCCUGCUUUCCCUUGUGGAUUGCGGGUACUCGAGUGGCGAACGGGUGGGUAGCACGUGAGUGAUCUGCCCCCAACUUGGGUAUAAGCCUGGGAAACUGGGUCUAAUUCCCGAUAGGACUGCAGGGUGGUGCCUGUGGUGGAAAACGAUUUUCUAGUGGUUGGGGAUGAGCUCGCGGCCUAUCAGCUUGUUGGUGGGGUAAUGGCCUACCAAGGCGGCGACGGGUAGCCGGCCUGAGAGGGUGGACGGCCACAUUGGGACUGAGAUACGGCCCAGACUCCUACGGGAGGCAGCAGUGGGGAAUAUUGCACAAUGGGCGGAAGCCUGAUGCAGCGACGCCGCGUGGGGGAUGACGGCCUUCGGGUUGUAAACUCCUUUCGACCGCGAGGAAGCCACCUGGUUGGAAGGGUGGUGACGGUAGUGGUAGAAGAAGCACCGGCUAACUACGUG
rnacentral:rRNA from 1 species